rnacentral:tRNA from 1 species
GCAGGUGGGUUGUCAAGAACUGGUGCAGAACAGCGUUCAGGGUCUAGUGCCCGAACGGGCUUGGGGGUUCGAGUCCCCCCGUCGGCACCA